AAGAAAAUGAGACAGAUAAAUAACGUUUACAUUUUGAUGUCAAAGCAGUGGCCAAUCCCAAACAUAUUUUGCAAGGCUUUGGAGGAGGCGAGAACGAUUAAUUUACGACGCCACGAGACCUUUGGCUCCCAAUGUGAGCAACAGCACAUACAGCGCGGUACGCAGUGUGCGGUGGAAAAGCAUAAAAAACGAUUGGUUCUGACAGCAGAGUUUCAAAAUCCCUUUGAAAUGUUAAAAAAAUAUAUAUACAUGUGUAAUUGAACACUUUCUCCUCCACAUGGAGCUCUAUAGAAACACUGUUUGCAUUUAUUUUCAGGAGCCAUAAUGUUGCUUCACUUUUGGAAUGUACCCAUGGCUACUUGUCGUGAGCUCAAGGAACUCAUUUGCGUCAAUGUCUGGGGAAAAAAACACACACACACACACACACACACACACACACACGAUCCACAUUUUAAAUGUCAAAUGCAUUACUGGCUAUGUUAAAAUGAUAACGCCAUGACUGAGGGGCUUCGAUUUUAAACUUUGUGCAAAUGUCAGGUGGGCCAGUGGCCAAAAACUGGCAUUUCGAGGCCAUUCACUGCAGAUACAUUCCUUUUUUGAAAGGGGCGUGGGGGUGCUUACUCUUGCGUCUGUCUUUUUUUUCUUUUGUCUGUGUAACAUUCACUGUUUUUCUAUUUACCUGUGGGAGUCUUUCUGGAUCACUGGGCUAAUUAAUAAGGUAAACACAGGCCACUGGCCACUCACUCAACGCUGUGCUGACAGAGCAAAGGAAAAAAAAAAAAAUGCCGGGGGUUGUCAAGCAUGUGUGAGAGGAUGGCGAUGUGUGUUAGCCUUCCUGCAUCACAAGUGGGCAAAUAUUCCGUAAAACGGGGCUUCAAAUCGAAGCAAUUAGUGUCAGCAGUAAGGCUUCCCUCACCCUGAUGUGCGUCUUGCUGGAACGCGUCACAUGAUUAGCUUUCGAGCAAGCCACCAAAUGGGCGGACGUGCGCCCAUUUCAAAAUGUCAUUACAAGAGCAGGCGG